GAUGAACGCUGGCGGCGUGCCUAAUACAUGCAAGUCGAGCGAACAGACGAGGAGCUUGCUCCUCUGACGUUAGCGGCGGACGGGUGAGUAACACGUGGAUAACCUACCUAUAAGACUGGGAUAACUUCGGGAAACCGGAGCUAAUACCGGAUAACAUGUUGAACCGCAUGGUUCAACAGUGAAAGACGGUCUUGCUGUCGCUUAUAGAUGGAUCCGCGCCGCAUUAGCUAGUUGGUAAGGUAACGGCUUACCAAGGCAACGAUGCGUAGCCGACCUGAGAGGGUGAUCGGCCACACUGGAACUGAGACACGGUCCAGCCUCCUACGGGAGGCAGCAGUAGGGAAUCUUCCGCAAUGGGCGAAAGCCUGACGGAGCAACGCCGCGUGAGUGAAGAAGGUCUUCGGAUCGUAAAACUCUGUUAUUAGGGAAGAACAAAUGUGUAAGUAACUAUGCACGUCUUGACGGUACCUAAUCAGAAAGCCACGGCUAACUACGUG
rnacentral:rRNA from 1 species